UGGAGAAUGAAGCAUAAGUGCCUGCUGUA
rnacentral:piRNA from 1 species